GUUGUGUCUCUUUCCACAGGGCUGGUCCAGUAAGAGUGUGGCCUAUUUUCUCACCUGACCUUUUUGGAAGGGAGCUUUAUGCGUGACAGACCUAACUAGAACAACAACAACAACUACAAAAAUACAGGCGCCGUGCUAGCAAUUGGAGAUGGCUCUCUCAAAGCCUAUGAGCAGACCUGGAGAGGGCAUACCUUUCUCCCCCUCAUCACAGAAUACAGCUGCAAAUGUGAAUAUACACAAAGGUUGCCAUGAGGUUGAGUAAAGUCUGCUCUCAAGUGCCAUCUACUGGAUUUUAAACCAAGCUAAAAUAUCAAAAACCCUUUACUAAUUCUCCACCACCCGUCGCCCUACAAAAUCAAUAGCAAGAAUUCAACAAUAAAGACUCUGUAUAGAGUCUUAGUCCUCUGACACUUAUAGAAAUAAAGACAAUGGAAUAUAUUCAAUUUGUGCCCAAUAUAAAGAACCACUGUCCUCCUAGAUGGGAAAGAAUCAGCACAAAAACUCCGGCAACUGAAAAAGCCACAGAGUCCCCUUACCUUCAAACAAGCCCAGUAUCUCCCCAAGGUUGACUAUUAACCAGUCUGAAUUGUCUGACAUGGGAGACAUGGAAUUUAUCAUCAGGAUGAUAAGGAAGCUCCCCAAUGUCAAGGAAAAAGUUGAAACAGCACAAGUAAGAUAAGCAAUGCAGAAAAAUAAUUCAACAGACAAAAGACAAAACAACAGACAAAAAAUAAUUCAAAAGACAAAAUGGUCAUUUUCAAGAAAGACUGAAACUGAACUAAUGCAAAAAAUUCACAAGAAUUUCAUAAUACAUUCAGAAGUAUUUACAGCAGAAUAGACCAAGCUGUGGAAAGACCCUCAGAAUUCAGACUGGUUCUUCAAAUCAACACAGUGUGAAAAAGGUUAAGAAAAAAGAAUUAACAAACAUAAAACCUCUGAGAAAUAUGGAAUUAUGUAAAGACACUGACUCUGUGACUCAUUGGCACUGCUGAAAAGAGAAAGAAUAAGCAAUUUGGAAAAUAUAUUUGCUACUACAACUUAUAAAAAUUAUCCUAAUCUUGCCAGAGGAGUUGACAUACAAAUCCAAGAAAUACAGAGAAUCCAAGCUAGGUAUUAUACAAGAUGACCAUAUAGAAGGAACAGUCAUCAGAUUCACCAAAGUCAAUGCAGAAAAAAAAAAAAAAAAAAAAA
rnacentral:lncRNA from 1 species